AAAGAUUAAGCCAUGCAUGUCUAAGUAUAAGCAAUUAUACCGCGAAACUGCGAAUGGCUCAUUAUAUAAGUUAUCGUUUAUUUGAUAGCACGUUACUACUUGGAUAACCGUGGUAAUUCUAGAGCUAAUACAUGCUAAAAACCCCGACUUCGGAAGGGGUGUAUUUAUUAGAUUAAAAGCCAANGCCCUUCGGGGCUCUGUGGUGAUUCAUGAUAACUUUUCGAAUCGCAUGGCCUUGCGCCGGCGAUGGUUCAUUCAAAUUUCUUCCCUAUCAACUUUCGAUGCGAGGGUCUUGUCCUCGCAUGGUUGCAACGGGUAACGGAGGGUUAGGGCUCGACCCCGGAGAAGGAGCCUGAGAAACGGCUACUACAUCCAAGGAAGGCAGCAGGCGCGCAAAUUACCCAAUCCCGACACNGGGAGGUAGUGACAAUAAAUACUGAUACAGGGCUCUUUAGGGUCUUGUAAUCGGAAUGAGUACAAUUUAAAUCCCUUAACGAGGAACAAUUGGAGGGCAAGUCUGGUGCCAGCAGCCGCGGUAAUUCCAGCUCCAAUAGCGUAUAUUAAAGUUGUUGUGGUUAAAAAGCUCGUAGUCGAACCUUGGNCCUGNCCGGCCGGUCCCCCUCACCGGGUGCACUGAUCCGGCCGGGCCUUUCCCUCUGUGGAACCCCAUGGCCUUCACUGGCUGUGCGGGGGAAACAGGACUUUUACUGUGAAAAAAUUAGAGUGCUCCAGGCAGGCCUAUGCUCGAAUACAUUAGCAUGGAAUAAUAGAAUAGGACGCGUGGUUCUAUUUUGUUGGUUUCUAGGACCGCCGUAAUGAUUAAUAGGGACAGUCGGGGGCAUCAGUAUUCAAUUGUCAGAGGUGAAAUUCUUGGAUCUAUUGAAGACUAACUACUGCGAAAGCAUUUGCCAAGGAUGUUUUCAUUGAUAAGGAACGAAAGUUAGGGGAUCGAAGACGAUCAGAUACCGUCGUAGUCUUAACUAUAAACUAUGCCGACUAGGGAUCGGACGAUGUUAUUUCUUGACGCGUUCGGCACCUUUCGAGAAAUCAAAGUGCUUGGGCUCC
rnacentral:rRNA from 1 species